AGUCAUAUGCUUGUCUCAAAGAUUAAGCCAUGCAUGUCUCAGUACAAACCAAAUUAAGGUGAAACCGCGAAAGGCUCAUUAAAUCAGUUAUGGUUCCUUAGAUCGUACCCACAUUUACUUGGAUAACUGUGGUAAUUCUAGAGCUAAUACAUGCACACAGAGCUCCAACCGGAUACGGAAGGAGUGCUUUUAUUAGAUCAAAACCAAUCGGCGACAAUGUAGUUCCGCUAUGUUGUUUGUCGCAAUACUUGGUGACUCUGAAUAACUUUUAGCUGAUCGCACGGUCUUGCACCGGCGACGCAUCUUUCAAAUGUCUGCCUUAUCAACUGUCGAUGGUAGGUUCUGCGCCUACCAUGGUUGUAACGGGUAACGGGGAAUCAGGGUUCGAUUCCGGAGAGGGAGCCUGAGAAACGGCUACCACAUCCAAGGAAGGCAGCAGGCGCGCAAAUUACCCACUCCCAGCUCGGGGAGGUAGUGACGAAAAAUAACGAUACGGGACUCAUCCGAGGCCCCGUAAUCGGAAUGAGAACACUUUAAAUCCUAUAAC
rnacentral:rRNA from 1 species